CUCACCUAUUUUACUUUUUUUUUUUAAUUUCCAUUCACUUAAUUCUCUCCUCUCUAGCAUCUCUAUCAAACAGACCCUAAAUGAGAAAGUUGUGUAUAUGACCUUUAUGUGAACAUAUGUGACCUUUUUGCUUCAUAAAAUUUAAUAGCAAAUAAUUUAUUUUGAUAAUUACUUUAUCCUUGGCUGAUCCUGAUUGGUUGAUAAGCUCAAUGGUACAGUCCCUCAUUUUCUUUUCCGACCAUUGUUCUUCAAUGCUAUGACUUACGAGUGUUUACUAAAGCCCUCCUUAUAAAAUUUGAACCCUUCUAAGUAACCUUGGCUUCUUGUCUUCUUUUAAUCAAAGGGAAAAGCAUCCUGAUUUCCUUAAUCCAUAUGCAUCUUCAAGGUUUGAUGACUUGUACUACAAUUUGUUGCUAGCUCCCCUGAUGCAACUUGGUACAGGCAGAGAGAUUAUCACUGCUAGUCUUAUAUCACGUAUACAAUUAUAUAAUCACUACACUCAACUUAUCAGGGGAGGGGGUGUGGAGGAUAGGAAUUACUACACAGAAAAGGGGCAUACUUGAAGUGUACUUCCAGUACCAGAACGUACGGUUCAUGUGGUGAGUAUGUUUUUCUCAAUCAUCAGGAGAUCUGACAUUAAAUGUGUAUGAAGAGGAUUGUGAAUUUGCGGACCCUGCAGGCUCAUUUAAAGGGCUUCAGCGACUCAAAAGGAACUGAACUAAUUUUGGAUCACUUCUGGAGAUCUCAAACAUGCAGCUUAUGAAGUGGGAAGAUUUUGAAGCGAAGAAAAUUUUGAUACAACUUUAUUCCUUUCCUAAAUUUAGUUUUGCAAGAUAGAGGAAUUGGACACUGGCGAUUCAACUGUAUCUUGUCCUUUCCUUGGAGGCCCAUUCUUUCUGCAACUGGAUACACAGAAUACUACUUUGAUGCACAAUCUGGAAAAGUAUGCAGGUGAUAAAAACUGUCAACUGUGAAGGCACAUGUUUGAUGUUUCUACCUUUCAGUGCUAUCAUUUUGGCAAUGACCUAGCCGUGGAUUUGGGUUAAAAGAUUAUGUGGAUAGGUGGUUGAAAGCAGUGCAGUUGAAGCUUGACGGCUUUGAAAUAUUGGAUCCUAUAUGUAAGCUAAUGAAGAUCUCGUGCUUCAAAUUACUUGGAAGAAGGAUCAAUUAGUACCUGGACACAGUUUCCUUCCUGUUGCAAUGGAUUACCGACAAUUCUUCCAAGGAUGGGAAACUUAAAUUCCCUUUGUAGAAGCUUCUGAGAUUUGCUUUUUACCUUCAUUGUUUUAAGCUGAGUCAAACUUAUGGCUGUUGGGGAUGUGAACAAAUAUAGCAUGUUCUUGCAACUAUCUACUUCCAAAUAUGACAAAUUGGAGAAAGACACACUGCAUGCUACCAAAUUUAUUGAACUAAAACAGAUGAAUGCUUCCAAGGUUUCUAGAUUUCUGAGAAAGGGCACAAUCCAAGAAUUCUCUGAACCAUUGGAAGCCAGCUCUCCAAGGGACUCCAAAGGUAAUACUUUCAGCUCUGGAAAGUGGAAAGUCUCCUUGAAGGAACCACGAAGGAUCACAAGCUUCUCUAAAUUGGGUACCCGUUGCAGAAAUACAUUGGACUCAAUAUGAAAGAACAAAACCCAACAUAUUUUACUAAUGAGUGCGAUGAAAUAUAAGUGUGAGGUGAAAUUCUAUAUUGGAUAGAAAUGAAAAAAUUGAAUAUCAUAUUAGAAAAAAACGUAUAAACUUGAACCUUAAAGUUUUGAAUUGAAGUGUGGUAUUAGAUUCACUUAUAUGAU